rnacentral:rRNA from 1 species
GACGAACCGUGCGAACGUUGUUCGGAAUCACUGGGCUUAAAGGGCGCGUAGGCGGGCUGUCAAGUCUGCGGUGAAAUGCCGCGGCUCAACCGUGGAACUGCCUCAGAUACUGACGGCCUCGAGGAAGGUAGGGGCAUGCGGAACUGUAGGUGGAGCGGUGAAAUGCGUUGAUAUCUACAGGAACUCCGGUGGCGAAAGCGGCCUGCUGGGCUAUGGCUGACACUGAGGCGCGACAGCGUGGGGAGCAAACAGG